rnacentral:rRNA from 1 species
UACGAAGGGGGCUAGCGUUGCUCGGAAUCACUGGGCGUAAAGCGCACGUAGGCGGAUCUUUAAGUCAGGGGUGAAAUCCUGGAGCUCAACUCCAGAACUGCCUUUGAUACUGGGGAUCUCGAGUCCUGGAGAGGUGAGUGGAACUGCGAGUGUAGAGGUGAAAUUCGUAGAUAUUCGCAAGAACACCAGUGGCGAAGGCGGCUGUCUGGUCCGGUUCUGACGCUGAUGCGCGAAAGCGUGGGUAGCAAACAGG